CAGCCGCCACGGUAAUACGUAGGGUGCAAGCGUUAAUCGGAAUUACUGGGCGUAAAGCGUGCGCAGGCGGUUUGUUAAGACAGAUGUGAAAUCCCCGGGCUCAACCUGGGAACUGCAUUUGUGACUGGCAAGCUAGAGUCUGGCAGAGGGGGGUGGAAUUCCGCGUGUAGCAGUGAAAUGCGUAGAUAUGCGGAGGAACACCGAUGGCGAAGGCAGCCCCCUGGGCCAACACUGACGCUCAUGCACGAAAGCGUGGGGAGCAAACAGGAUUAGAGACCCCCGUAGUCCCUGUCUCUUAUAC
rnacentral:rRNA from 1 species